AUGGAAAGAAUCAAUGCUAAUCCUAUCUGGGGUAAGGUUUGGAAAUUAUCUUGUCCGGCAAAGGUUAAAAUUUUCAUCUGGCGUACCUUGCAUGCAACCCUCCCAUGUUGGGUUAUACUUGCUAAUAGACACAUGAAAGUUUCACCCAAUUUCCCAUCAUGCUCGAAGGGGGCAGAAGAUACAAAACAUAUUUUAUUCAUGUGUCAAAAGGCAAAGAAGGUAUGGGGCAAGUUAGGACUACAUGAGGUGAUCAAUAAAGCAUGUGCUACUGAUCGUGCGGGAGAGGCGGUCUUGGAAUUCUUACUACUUAUGCCAGAACAUGAAUUAGUGAUAGUGGGUUCUCAAAAAGCACGUGAACUGAUCGCUAUUACAGCCUGGUACUUAUGGUGGGAUAGACGAAACUGGUUCAUGAAGGAAAGUUUCAAGAUGCAAACCAAAUUUCCAUGA
rnacentral:rRNA from 1 species